rnacentral:rRNA from 1 species
GACGAACGCCGGCGGCGUGCUUAACACAUGCAAGUCGAACGAUGAACCAGGAGCUUGCUUGGGGAAUUAGUGGCGAACGGGUGAGUAACACGUGAGUAACCUGCCCUUGACUCUGGGAUAACCUCCGGAAACGGAAGCUAAUACCGGAUACGACGUACGGAGGCAUCUCCUGUACGUGGAAAGAACUUCGGUCAAGGAUGGACUCGCGGCCUAUCAGGUAGUUGGUGAGGUAACGGCUCACCAAGCCUACGACGGGUAGCCGGCCUGAGAGGGUGACCGGCCACACUGGGACUGAGACACGGCCCAGACUCCUACGGGAGGCAGCAGUGGGGAAUAUUGCACAAUGGGCGCAAGCCUGAUGCAGCAACGCCGCGUGAGGGAUGACGGCCUUCGGGUUGUAAACCUCUUUUAGUAGGGAAGAAGCGAAAGUGACGGUACCUGCAGAAAAAGCACCGGCUAACUACGUGCCAGCAGCCGCGGUAAUACGUAGGGUGCGAGCGUUGUCCGGAAUUAUUGGGCGUACAGAGCUCGUAGGCGGUCUGUCGCGUCUGCUGUGAAAACCCGAGGCUCAACCUCGGGCCUGCAGUGGGUACGGGCAGACUAGAGUGCGGUAGGGGAGAAUGGAAUUCCUGGUGUACCGGUGGAAUGCCCAGAUAUCAGGAGGAACACCGAUGGCAAAGCAGUUUUCUGGGCCGUAA